AGCGAACGCUGGCGGCAGGCUUAACACAUGCAAGUCGAACGGUCAUAGCAAUAUGUCUGUGGCAGACGGGUGAGUAGCGCGUGGGAACGUACCUUUUGGUUCGGAACAACACAGGGAAACUUGUACUAAUACCGGAUAAGCCCUUACGGGGAAAGAUUUAUAGCCGAAGGAUCGGCCCGCGUCGGAUUAGCUAGUUGGUAGGGUAAUGGCCUCCCAAGGGGACGAUCAGUAGCUGGUCUGAGAGGAUGAUCAGCCACAUUGGGACUGAGACACGGCCCAAACUCCUACGGGAGGCAGCAGUGGGGAAUAUUGCACAACGGGCGAAAGCCUGAUCCAGCCAUGCCGCGUGAGUGAUGAAGGCCCUAGGGUUGUAAAGCCCUUUUGUGCGGGAAGAUAAUGACGGUACCGUAAGAAUAAGCCCCGGCUAACUUCGUG
rnacentral:rRNA from 1 species